UUUGCGGGAAGCUUAUGAAGGGGCGUUCAUGGCUAGUGGAGGGUUUACUAGGGAGCUAGGAAUGAAAACUGUGUCUUCUGGUGAUGCCGAUUUAGUGUCAUAUGGCCGGGAUUUUAUCUCAAACCCUGACUUGGUGUUGAGGUUUAGGCUGAAUGCUCCCUUGAACAAGUAUAAUAGGGAGACUUUCUACACCCAUGACCCUGUAGUUGGGUACACAGACUACCCUUUUCUGAACAUAGAAAGUUGAUAGAGGAUGACCACUACCCUGUUUGAUUUUGAUGCUGCUGAAAUUGUUAUUGUUCAAUAAAACCUUCUCAUAUAGAGAAAGUAAAAAUCAAAUAAAGAUCCAAGUAAAUAUUUGUACCUAUGCAAAUAAGUUCUUUGCAGCUCCAGAUUCCCUACAAAUUAGUACCUACAAAUUAGUACCAAUGAAGCCCAAUCAAUAUUUGAAUUAUCAAUUAACCACAUUAUCAAAUACAUAAUGGUUGAUUUAACAAUUACUCUGUUGAAAUGUUUUUAGUUGUUGAAGGAAAAGUCAUAAGAUGGUAUCUGCAUGUCAAGUUUAUAUACUUGGAUAUGACAGAAUCCAAGUAGACAAAUGUUUUAGUAUGGCCGGGAUUUUGUCUCAAACCCUGACUUGGUGUUAAGGUUUAAGCUGAAUGCUCCCUUGAACAAGUAUAUUCAAGAGACUUUCUACACUGAUGAUGACCCUGUAGUUGGGUACACAAACUACCUUUUUCUGAACAAAGAAAGUGUUUGAUUUUGAUGCUGCUCAAUUGUUCUUGUUAGUUCAACUUAAACCCUUCUCAUAUAGAGAAAUUGUGAUUUGAAUUUGAUGAAAUAGUGUGUACAAAAAAAGGAUCGAAUUUAGGCUUCAAUUCCUUCAAAGCCUAGUUAGACUUAUCAAAUCCAAACCUUUUUUUUUGGAAAUAUCCAUGUAAGUUCACACUUUAUAUUUCCUAUUCUGGGAAUAUUGACUAAAGCUAGAUUACAAUUAAGGAACCUGAAUUUGAUUUCCCUUAACAACGGUCAAACACGACACUCGCCCUACACAGCAGCCGUUCCCUUCUACCAACCAAGAGUCAUCACUGACGUUUUUUAAUUACGGCGCCACUGUUUUUCUAUAUAAAACUCCCUCAUUAACGUACUCUUUCUGCAACUUGAACACAUACAUUGCCCAGUUCAGAUUUAACUUUGAUUGGAGUUCGAUUUCUAUACCUUGGAUAAGAAAACGAAAAUGGCAGAUCCUUCAUCCACGGGUGGACUCACUCUGUUCUCUCCUUACAAGAUGGGCAAGUUCAACCUCUCUCAUAGGUCAGAUACUCUUUGAUCAAUUAUACUAACUGUACAAUUUUGAAGAUUUAAGGCAUGAUUUUUAGGUUAAUAUUUGGAUGAUUUUGUUCUUUCUUUUACGUACAGAGUGGUGCUUGCGCCAAUGACGAGGAAUCGAGCGUUGAACGAACUUCCGCAGCCGGCGAUGGUCGAGUACUAUUCUCAGAGGUCAACCCCCGGUGGCUUUCUAAUCUCUGAAGGCACUUCGCCAUCAGACCAAAGCUUCGGGUAAUUUCGUAAUUCUCAAUGCUACACAAAUAUGAUAAUUUACAAAGCUUCAUUACCUUUCGACCAAAAACUGUAUAUUCGACUAAAAAUAAAUUAAAUAUACAAUAUAAGAAAUAUAUAAAAAUUAAUAUAUGUACUUGUAAAAAAACAGAAAUUUCAAGGAAAUAUCGAGCCUAGUUUAGUCCUGGACCUCAAACUAUAAAUUGAGUUCCCUGCUUUAAAAUCUGUUGGAUUUUGUUAGUGAGUUUGUUGUAUAUGGUGGGAGCAGGUUUCCACAUGUUCCUGGGAUUUACACCGAUGAACAAGUUGAGGCAUGGAAGAAGGUGGCUGAUGCUGUUCAUGCCAAAGGUGCCAUCAUUUUCUGUCAACUUUGGCAUGUAGGUCGUGCUUCUCAUCAAGGUAAUUAAUUCUGUCAGAUACAUAUAUGGCACUAUCAGUCUAUCACAGAGCUCUAUUUUGCAAAGAAAUCCUCAGCAGUGAACUGAUCAUUUUUCUACUUGUUAUUGUCAAAUGUUAUAGUUUUUCAACCAGGUGGGAGGUCGCCAAUUUCUUCAACCAGCAAUCCCAUCUCAAAGAAGUGGAAAGUUGCGUUGCCUGAUGGGUCUCAUGACGUUCACUCUGAACCUCGACGCCUCGAGACCCAAGAAAUACCCCAGAUUGUUGAGCAGUACCGUCAGGCUGCCUUGAAUGCCAUUCGAGCAGGUCAGUCUCAUUUCAUCACGUACUGGUUUAUUUUCAUAACGUGUACGCAUCACAUGCUCCGAAACACAAUGGCACAUUCUUUGAUCAUCGCGCAUACUAGAAGCUUUGAUCUUAUGAUGUAUCUUUGAUAAUGGACAGGUUUUGAUGGAGUUGAGAUCCAUUCGGCACAUGGCUACCUCAUCGAUCAAUUCUUGAAAGAUGGGGUCAAUGAUCGAACUGACGAGUACGGUGGCUCGCUUGCAAACCGCUGCAAGUUCUUGAUACAAACUGUUGAAGCAGUAGUUGAAUCCCUUGGUGCUGAUAGAGUUGCCGUCAGAAUCUCACCAGCUAUUGAUUUCUAUGAUGCUACAGACUCCGACCCGAUUGGCCUAGGCUUGGCAGUGAUUGAAAGACUCAACAAGCUUCAACAUAACAUAGGCUCAAAGCUCGCUUAUCUUCAUGUGACUCAGCCUCGAUUGACCACCAUUAUGACGCUGGCGCCGGCAGAGCUUGAUGAAGACAGAGAAGCUCAAUUUAUGAGGACUUUGCGGGAAGCUUAUGAAGGGGCGUUCAUGGCUAGUGGAGGGUUUACUAGGGAGCUAGGAAUGGAAACUGUGUCUUCUGGUGAUGCCGAUUUAGUGUCAUAUGGCCGGGAUUUUAUCUCAAACCCUGACUUGGUGUUGAGGUUUAGGCUGAAUGCUCCCUUGAACAAGUAUAAUAGGGAGACUUUCUACACCCAUGACCCUGUAGUUGGGUACACAGACUACCCUUUUCUAAACAUAGAAAGUUGAUAGAGGAUGACCACUACCCCGUUUGAUUUUGAUGCCGCUGAAAUUGUUAUUGUUCAAUAAAACCUUUUCAUAUAGAGAAAGUAAAAAUCAAAUAAAGAUCCAAGUAAACAUUUGUACCUAUGCAAAUAAGUUCUUUGCAGCUCCAGAUUCCCUACAAAUUAGUACUAAUGAAGCCCAAUCAAUAUUUGAAUUAUCAAUUAACUACAUUAUCAAAUACAUAAUGGUUGAUUUAAUAAUUACUCUGUUGAAAUGUUUUUAGUUGUUGAAGGAAAAGUCAUAAGAUGGUAUCUGCAUGUCAAGCUUAUACACUUGGAUAUGACAGAAUCCAAGUAGACAAAUGUUUUAGUAUGGCCGGGAUUUUAUCUCAAACCCUGACUUGGUGUUAAGGUUAAAGCUGAAUGCUCCCUUGAACAAGUAUAUUCAAGAGACUUUCUACACUGAUGACCCUGUAGUUGGGUACACAGAC
rnacentral:lncRNA from 1 species